rnacentral:rRNA from 1 species
AACGAACGCUGGCGGCAGGCCUAACACAUGCAAGUCGAACGGGAUAGCAAUAUCCAGUGGCAGACGGGUGAGUAACACGUGGGAACCUUCCUUAUAGUAAAGAAUAGCCCAGGGAAACUUGGAUUAAUACUUUAUACGCCCUACGGGGGAAAGAUUUAUCGCUAUAAGAUGGGCCCGCGUUAGAUUAGCUAGUUGGUGAG